UACGUAGGUGGCAAGCGUUGUCCGGAUUUACUGGGCGUAAAGAGCGCGCAGGCGGUCGUCCAAGUCGCGUGUGAAAGCCCCCGGCUCAACUGGGGAGGGUCAUUCGAUACUGCUCGACUUGAAGGCAGGAGAGGGUAGUGGAAUUCCCGGUGUAGUGGUGAAAUGCGUAGAUAUCGGGAGGAACACCAGUGGCGAAGGCGACUACCUGGCCUGUUCUUGACGCUGAGGCGCGAAAGCUGGGGGAGCAAACGGG
rnacentral:rRNA from 1 species